AGAUACAAGUCGAGAAUUGAGAAAUAUUCCAAACACAAACACAUGGACCCGCGGCGAAUGUGACUGCAGUUCGCCAUUGGGUCUUUUUGGCCUCCUUUAUCUCUGACUCGUCAAACGCGCCGAGUCAACUCGCUCUUCUUUUUAUUUGACGCUUAUCGUGUUCAGUAGUCACCUUCCUCUCUUGUCUGAAUCUUCUGCAUCCUUUUCACGCUCUCAGAUCUUCACCGUGAUCCGCAUCACCUUUCUCCAGCAAUACUAAGCUCGAGGUAAAGCGCGAUAUUGUGAGUGGAAGCUGACUAUAGCAAUGGCUUCUCGCGACUCCGAAUUCUUGAAGAACUUUUGGAUCCCGAGUUACAUGCUCGUGCCGGAGUCUGCGGCUGAGAGCAGCCAGAUCGCCCGUGGCAAUGGACCUAAGUGCCCGGUGCUUGUUUUUGCGAACUCCAAAAGCGGUGGCCAGCUAGGAGGGGACCUAUUGAAAACGUACCGUGCUCUUCUCAACGAAAAACAGGUUUUUGAUUUAGGGGAAGAAGCUCCCGAGAAGGUACUGAGCAGAGUCUAUGCUAACUUGGAGAGACUCAAGGUUCAAGGUGAUCAACUUGCUACAGGGAUUAUGGAGAGUCUGAGAUUAAUUGUUGCUGGGGGUGAUGGAACAGCGGGAUGGCUACUUGGAGUUGUUUGUGAUCUCAAAUUGUCCCAUCCGCCACCAAUAGCCACGGUUCCUUUGGGCACAGGGAAUAACCUACCUUUUGCUUUUGGCUGGGGAAAGAAGAACCCAGGAACAAACGAGCAUUCAGUGAAGUCAUUUUUAGAUCAAGUAAUGAAGGCUAAAGAAAUGAAAAUAGACAAUUGGCACAUUCUUAUGCGAAUGAGGAUUCCAAAAGAAGGUCCAUGUGAUCCGAUUGCACCUCUUGAGUUACCGCAUUCUUUGCAUGCCUUCCAUCGCGUAUCCGAGACAGAUGAACAAAAUAUUGAAGGUUACCAUACUUUUCGUGGGGGAUUUUGGAAUUACUUCAGCAUGGGAAUGGAUGCUCAAAUAUCUUAUGCUUUUCAUUCUGAACGAAAGUUGCAUCCUGAAAAAUUCAAAAAUCAGUUGGUUAAUCAGACUACAUACGCUAGGCUUGGAUGCACGCAAGGAUGGUUUUUGGCUCCUCUAUUCCAUCCUCCUUCCAGGAAUAUAGCACAUGUUGUAAAAGUACAAAUCAUGAAAAGGAAUGGCCAGUGGGAAGACCUGCAAAUUCCUUCCAGCAUCCGGUCAAUUGUAUGCCUCAAUUUGCCUAGCUUUUCUGGUGGACUGAAUCCUUGGGGUACACCAACUAGGAGGCAACAGCGUCAAAACGACUGGACACGUCCAUAUGUAGAUGAUGGCCUAAUAGAAGUUGUUGGCUUUAGAGAUGCCUGGCAUGGGCUUGCUUUGCUUGGUCCAAACGGACAUGGAACUCGUCUUGCUCAGGCUCGCAGAAUUGGCUUUGUGUUUCACAAAGGUGCAACAGAUCAUACAUACAUGAGGAUUGAUGGGGAACCUUGGAAGCAACCCCUCCCAAUAGACGAUGACACGGUUGUAGUAGAGAUUUCUCACCAUGGCCAGGUUAACAUGCUUGCUACUCAUGAAUGCAAGUCUAAAAGUGUGCAUGAUCCUUCAACACAUUACAAUGAUGAUGCUGAGGAAGAUGAUAGUAGCAAUGGAGACUCUUUAGCAGAUGAAUUUCGAAAGUUUGGUGCAGCUGAUACAUUUAAAAUCCCAGAUGAGUUUGUCAAAUCCAAUAAGAACCCUGAAUAGUAUCGAUCUAAUCACGAGUUUGCCCGUAGCCCCUCAAACAAAGGCACAACAAAAGGGCUAUACAUCAUGAUGAGUUCAAAUGCAAAAUGGAUACAUGAAAUGAAAGUGGCAUAAUAAGUUCGUUCGAAACUUAGAUGCAAUCACUUAUUGCUCUAUAUUGUAGCAUGCAACUCCAUUACAGAUGCAACAUGUACAUUUCUUCUACAAUUUCCAUAUUGUGGCGAAAUUAUAACCACAAUUUAAAACCAUUAAGAAACCAAAGAAGCCCCCACGAACCUGUGGCAGAAGACAUGCAUUGAACAACCAUUUUGGAUGAGGAACAAGAAGCUCGAACACCCCCAUAAUGGUACGAGAAAAUGGUCCUAAAACCGAAGACUUCAGAACUUGAAGAGACAAAGAAACGAUGAGUUGAUGAGGACACAGUUGCUUUUCUCUCACAGCACUGAGUGAAUGAUGAUGAGAAGGACAAAGAAGUGAGAGCUGCCAUAGUUGGAAAGGAAAGAGUGGAAUGCAAAUAAUCAACACACAACACAAAGAGAAGAGGCAAAUUCAGAAGGUGUCCACCAUGGGAGGACAAGUUUCAGUGAUGACCCUCAUUUGGUUUCUAAGGUUUUUGUUGCAGAAAAGGGAAAAAGAAAAGAGAAAAUCUUAUCCACACUGUGAAGUCUCAAACUGAAACUGAAAGCCUUUUGUUUUUGUCAACUUUCCAAGGAGCCACUACUCUCAUGACACGUUGAAAUUUUGACAUCACAACGGUUUUUCUAAGCUAAAUAAAUUGUAUAAUUAGAUUCAUUAUUUUAUAAUCAUAACUAAGAUAAAACAUUCCUCCAAAAUUGUAACUAUUUGUAUUUAGACAACAAGUACAAAAUUUGUUAGAAGACGACACCUUGCAUUCACUCUAUGAUAUUUGAUAUUUGUCUCACCAACUUGUGGCUGAAA